rnacentral:rRNA from 1 species
GACGAACGCUGGCGGCGUGCUUAACACAUGCAAGUCGAACGGAAAGGCCCUGCUUUUGUGGGGUGCUCGAGUGGCGAACGGGUGAGUAACACGUGAGUAACCUGCCCUUGACUUUGGGAUAACUUCAGGAAACUGGGGCUAAUACCGGAUAGGAGCUCCUGCUGCAUGGUGGGGGUUGGAAAGUUUCGGCGGUUGGGGAUGGACUCGCGGCUUAUCAGCUUGUUGGUGGGGUAGUGGCUUACCAAGGCUUUGACGGGUAGCCGGCCUGAGAGGGUGACCGGCCAAAGAGGGAUAUGGGAGGGACCCGGACGCAAUCGGGAGGAAGGGGGGGGAAAUAGUGGGAGAAGGGCGGAGGGAGGGUGGAAGAACGCCGGGGGGGAGAACACGGCUUUCGGGUUGGAACACGUUUUCGAGUGAGAAGGCGCGGGGGGACGGGAAAUGAGUAAAGAGGCACGGGUAAAUACGGG